AACGCGGAAGCGUUGGCUGAAACAACAGAUUCUUGUCGACAGCCACAUAAACGCUGGAGUAACUCAGCGGGACAGACAAGAUUCUUGUAAAUUUGUCCUUUCUGGAGAGAAGGAUUCGCAAAGCAGGAAUAAAAACAUGGUCUGACUAAUCAUUAAGGCCUGCAGCUAUGUGGCAAGCAAGAUCGGCAGUGUCAUAAGCAAAAAGGAAGGCCCACCUGGCACGUCUGAGCUCCAAAGCAGCCAGGUCCAAGGUGAAAAGUACAAUCCGGUAAACACAAUGGAGGAUGAGGGAUUCUUCCCG